rnacentral:rRNA from 1 species
GUGACUGCGUACCUUUUGUAUAAUGGGUCAGCGACUUAUUUUCAGUGGCGAGCUUAACCGAAUAGGGGAGGCGUAGCGAAAGCGAGUCUUAAUAGGGCGUCUAGUCGCUGGGAAUAGACCCGAAACCGGGCGAUCUAUCCAUGGGCAGGUUGAAGGUUGGGUAACACUAACUGGAGGACCGAACCGACUACCGUUGAAAAGUUAGCGGAUGACCUGUGGAUCGGAGUGAAAGGCUAAUCAAGCUCGGAGAUAGCUGGUUCUCCUCGAAAGCUAUUUAGGUAGCGCCUCAUGUAUCACUGUAGGGGGUAGAGCACUGUUUCGGCUAGGGGGUCAUCCCGACUUACCAAACCGAUGCAAACUCCGAAUACCUACAAGUGCCGAGCAUGGGAGACACACGGCGGGUGCUAACGUCCGUCGUGAAAAGGGAAACAACCCAGACCGUCAGCUAAGGUCCCAAAGUUAUGGUUAAGUGGGAAACGAUGUGGGAAGGCUUAGACAGCUAGGAGGUUGGCUUAGAAGCAGCCACCCUUUAAAGAAAGCGUAAUAGCUCACUAGUCGAGUCGGCCUGCGCGGAAGAUGUAACGGGGCUCAAACCAUACACCGAAGCUACGGGUAUCACCUUCGGGUGAUGCGGUAGAGGAGCGUUCUGUAAGCCUGUGAAGGUGAGUUGAGAAGCUUGCUGGAGGUAUCAGAAGUGCGAAUGCUGACAUGAGUAACGACAAUGGGUGUGAAAAACACCCACGCCGAAAGACCAAGGUUUCCUGCGCAACGUUAAUCGACGCAGGGUUAGUCGGUCCCUAAGGCGAGGCUGAAAAGCGUAGUCGAUGGAAAACAGGUUAAUAUUCCUGUACUUCUGGUUAUUGCGAUGGAGGGACGGAGAAGGCUAGGCCAGCUUGGCGUUGGUUGUCCAAGUUUAAGGUGGUAGGCUGAGAUCUUAGGUAAAUCCGGGAUCUUAAGGCCGAGAGCUGAUGACGAGUGUUCUUUUAGAACACGAAGUGGUUGAUGCCAUGCUUCCAAGAAAAGCUUCUAAGCUUCAGGUAACCAGGAACCGUACCCCAAACCGACACAGGUGGUUGGGUAGAGAAUACCAAGGCGCUUGAGAGAACUCGGGUGAAGGAACUAGGCAAAAUGGCACCGUAACUUCGGGAGAAGGUGCGCCGGUGAGGGUGAAGGACUUGCUCCGUAAGCUCAUGCCGGUCGAAGAUACCAGGCCGCUGCGACUGUUUAUUAAAAACACAGCACUCUGCAAACACGAAAGUGGACGUAUAGGGUGUGACGCCUGCCCGGUGCCGGAAGGUUAAUUGAUGGGGUUAGCUAACGCGAAGCUCUUGAUCGAAGCCCCGGUAAACGGCGGCCGUAACUAUAACGGUCCUAAGGUAGCGAAAUUCCUUGUCGGGUAAGUUCCGACCUGCACGAAUGGCGUAACGAUGGCGGCGCUGUCUCCACCCGAGACUCAGUGAAAUUGAAAUCGCUGUGAAGAUGCAGUGUAUCCGCGGCUAGACGGAAAGACCCCGUGAACCUUUACUAUAGCUUUGCACUGGACUUUGAAUUUGCUUGUGUAGGAUAGGUGGGAGGCUUUGAAGCGUGGACGCCAGUUCGCGUGGAGCCAUCCUUGAAAUACCACCCUGGCAACUUUGAGGUUCUAACUCAGGUCCGUUAUCCGGAUCGAGGACAGUGUAUGGUGGGUAGUUUGACUGGGGCGGUCUCCUCCUAAAGAGUAACGGAGGAGUACGAAGGUGCGCUCAGACCGGUCGGAAAUCGGUCGUAGAGUAUAAAGGCAAAAGCGCGCUUGACUGCGAGACAGACACGUCGAGCAGGUACGAAAGUAGGUCUUAGUGAUCCGGUGGUUCUGUAUGGAAGGGCCAUCGCUCAACGGAUAAAAGGUACUCCGGGGAUAACAGGCUGAUACCGCCCAAGAGUUCAUAUCGACGGCGGUGUUUGGCACCUCGAUGUCGGCUCAUCACAUCCUGGGGCUGAAGCCGGUCCCAAGGGUAUGGCUGUUCGCCAUUUAAAGUGGUACGCGAGCUGGGUUUAGAACGUCGUGAGACAGUUCGGUCCCUAUCUGCCGUGGACGUUUGAGAUUUGAGAGGGGCUGCUCCUAGUACGAGAGGACCGGAGUGGACGAACCUCUGGUGUUCCGGUUGUCACGCCAGUGGCAUUGCCGGGUAGCUAUGUUCGGGAAAGAUAACCGCUGAAAGCAUCUAAGCGGGAAACUUGCCUCAAGAUGAGAUCUCACUGGAACCUUGAGUUCCCUGAAGGGCCGUCGAAGACUACGACGUUGAUAGGUUGGGUGUGUAAGCGCUGUGAGGCGUUGAGCUAACCAAUACUAAUUGCCCGUGAGGCUUGACCAUAUAACACCCAAGCAAUU